CAUACACUCUCAUUGACAAACACACACUCACUAACAGACAUCAAACAGACUCACUAACACACUCACUAACUAACUAACACAUUCAGUAAGACACACACAGUAACACACUCACUGACACUCACUAGCAGACACACACACUAACACUCACUCUAACACUCACACACACUAACACUCACUCUAACACUCACACACACUCACACUCACUAGCAGACACACACACUAACACUCACUAGCAGACACACUAACACUCACUCUAACACUCACACACACUAACACUCACUAGCAGACACACACACUAACACUCUAACACUAACACUCACACACACUCAAACACUAACACUAACACAUGUUUUUGUUUUUUUAAUUCAAUCCCCCCAGCCUCCUUACCUUUUGGAGUGCUGGGGGGAUUCCCUGGGGUCCAGUGGUGCUGCUGGGCUCCUGGGCGGGUGGCCGGUUGGGCAGGCGGGUGCGCGAG